AACGAACGCUGGCGGCGUGCCUAACACAUGCAAGUCGAGCGAGAAAGCCCGCAAGGGUGAGUAAAGCGGCGCACGGGUGCGUAACACGUGAGUAAUCUGCCCUGGAGUCCGGAAUAACUCGCCGAAAGGCGUGCUAAUGCCGGAUGAGACCACGGGAGCUUCGGCUCCUGCGGGAAAAGGUGGCCUCUGUACACAAGCUAUCGCUUCAGGAUGAGCUCGCGGCCCAUCAGCUCGUUGGCGGGGUAAUGGCCCACCAAGGCUACGACGGGUAGCUGGUCUGAGAGGACGAUCAGCCACACUGGAACUGAGACACGGUCCAGACUCCUACGGGAGGCAGCAGUGGGGAAUCUUGCGCAAUGGGCGAAAGCCUGACGCAGCAACGCCGCGUGUGUGAUGAAGGUCUUCGGAUCGUAAAGCACUGUCGCGAGGGACGAAUAAGGGGCGGGCUAACAUCCCGUUCCGAUGACGGUACCUCGAGAGGAAGCACCGGCUAACUCUGUGCCAGCAGCCGCGGUAAUACAGAGGGUGCAAGCGUUGUUCGGAAUUAUUGGGCGUAAAGCGCGUGUAGGCGGCUUUGUAAGUUGGGUGUGAAAGCCCUCGGCUUAACCGAGGAAGUGCGCCCAAAACUGCAUGGCUUGAGUACCGGAGAGGGUGGCGGAAUUCCCGGUGUAGAGGUGAAAUUCGUAGAUAUCGGGAGGAACACCAGCGGCGAAGGCGGCCACCUGGACGGAUACUGACGCUGAGACGCGAAAGCGUGGGGAGCAAACAGGAUUAGAUACCCUGGUAGUCCACGCUGUAAACGAUGAGCGCUAGGUGUUGUGGGUGUUGACCCCCGCAGUGCCGCAGCUAACGCAUUAAGCGCUCCGCCUGGGAAGUACGGCCGCAAGGCUA
rnacentral:rRNA from 1 species